CCACCAUCAGUCUGGGAUCUGCAGGAGCAGGAUGCAGGCCUCCCUCUGGAUGGCUCCCUUCCAGUGGCACAGAGACCAGCUCACCUCCAAUGACAAGGAAGAGUAUCAGCAUGACGGGAUAGAAGAACCCCAGGACGAAGCAGAAGAUAUACUCAUGGGCCACUGCGGAGACCAGGAACACACCCAGCAUGGCUACCCCUCGGGCCCGGGCACCAAGGAGCUGGCAGGGUGAGGAAAGGAGUGAAGAGUGCUGCCUCCAAGGCCCCGAAACAGAGAGUGCUACUGCGAACAAAUCAACCUCUUCCACUCCACUGCUGCUUUUGGUGCCCCAUAACGACGACCCCCUCUCAGCAGGAAGUAGCCAGAAAGAUUACGACUCCCCAUCUCCCUGCGAUUCUCAUGAUAAAUAAAUAUCCAUGCAUGAUAAAAAUCGUGUAAAUUGACAGUGGGGACUGUGACAAGCAGGUCUCACUAAUGCAGACCUCCAUAACAACUGUUUCAGUACUGACUGAGUGGUUAAGUUAAAUGUUAAAAACCAGUGCCCUUAUACAAAGGCUGGAAUGUAACAAAAGCCCACCAAGAGUUUUGCCUAGGCCUUUCCUGAACCUCAAAGCAUGAUUAAACAAGUUUUGCUGGGGGUCUGAAGAAACUCCCCAAACCUCCGUUAUUUAGCAGGAGAUAAGAG
rnacentral:lncRNA from 1 species